rnacentral:tRNA from 1 species
CAGAGAAUAGUUUUAUUAAAAUUUUAAUUUUGGAGAUUAAAGAUAGAAAGGAUUUUCUUUCUCUGA